CUACGGGGUGCUGCAGUGGGGAAUAUUGGACAAUGGGGGAAACCCUGAUCCAGCAAUGCCGCGUGUGUGAAGAAGGCCUGCGGGUUGUAAAGCACUUUCGGUUGGGAGGACUGCUUCUAGCACUAAUAUUGUUGGAAGUUGACGUUACCUUCAGAAGAAGCACCGGCUAACUCCGUGCCAGCAGCCGCGGUAAUACGGAGGGUGCAAGCGUUAAUCGGAAUUACUGGGCGUAAAGCGCGCGUAGGCGGCUAGAUCAGUCGGGUGUGAAAGCCCCGGGCUUAACCGGGGAACUGCAUCCGAUACUGUCUAGCUUGAGUACAGGAGAGGAGAGUGGAAUUCCAGAUGUAGCGGUGAAAUGCGUAGAUAUGUGGAGGAACACCAAUGGCGAAGGCAGCUCUCUGGCCUGAUACUGACGCUGAGGUGUGAAAGCGUGGGGAGCAAACAGGAUUAGAUACCCCCGUAGUC
rnacentral:rRNA from 1 species